UACUAUAUUUUAGAGAAUUGUUCAAUGUUUUUUCAAUUUGGCAUUAAAACAAACAGAGUCGACAAAUAAAAGAUGGUGACUAGUUAAUAAAAGAGUUUAGAAUCCCCAUGGGGAUAAGGGCAAUGGAACGGAAUGGAGAAACAAAUUAAAUUGAUUAGAAAAAGAAUAGUAUUUCCUACCCUUAAAAAAGAAAGAAAGAAGACGGUGAUUCAGUUGAUGAUAAGAUGUGUGUGUACAUAAUUAACUUAACAUAUGAAGAAGAUGUCAUGGGAAAGAAAGUCAAUUGAGUUUAGUUACCCGCAAGAGAGCGUCGAGAUCGUCCUGCACCACUAUAUGAGAAUCAGAUUGAGAUUGAGAAUAAGACAUUAAAUGGUAUGGGAUACAGAUACUAUGAGUCAUUCUGAAAAUAAGCCACAUACCAACUCCACACUUCAGUAUUGGGGCCACAGAAGCAUUCUCAUGUUUGUUUUUUGCGCUGGAAGGAGUUCUGUCAAGAUACAUCACUGGAGAAGGCUGGUUUGUAUAUUAAUUCAUCUGAACAAAAUGAGUUCAGUUCUCCUAGUAGAAGCAUUGAUUUCAACCAAGAGAACUGUCUUUACUCUUCUGGCCUUUGUUCUCUGGCCAUUUCCUCUUCACAGGUUGAUGAGAUUGAACCACCAACUUGGACUAAAAGGCUUGCUACAGGGGAGGAUAUAUCAGUUGGAAAUAUGUUCUUUUUGACAUCUGCUGUGAAGAAAAGUUUUGAGAUGGUUAUGUUGGCAGUAAGUCAAAAGUGGCCUGUUCUUCUAUAUGGUCCUGCUGGCGCUGGGAAAUCUGCUCUUAUUCACAAGUUGGCCCAGGAUAGUAGGAACCAAAUUCUGUCUAUCCACAUGGAUGAUCAAAUUGAUGGUAAAACCUUAAUGGGAAGUUCUGUUUGUACAGAGCAACCCGGUGAAUUUAGAUGGCAGCCCGGGUGACUUACCCAGGCUGUUCAGAAUGGAUUUUGGGUUUUAUUUGAGGAUGUUGACAAAGCACCAUCUGAUGUGCAAUCCAUCAUACUACCUUUGCUGGAAGGUGCAAAAUCAUUUUCAAAUGGGCAUGGGGAGGAAAUAAUGGUGGCAGAAAGUUUUUGACUAUUUUCCACAAUUUCAACUUUUAGAUUUGAUAUAUCACACAGUUCAGAAGGAAUACUAAUGGCUGUUUGAUUGGCAUGGUGGGAAUGGGUUUGAAGAAAUUCACCUAACCCUGCCUGUUGCCUUCCAAUGUGGAAAACUUGGUGUUUUUUGGAGGAAAAGUGAUGAUUGUGCCUCCAAGUAAGGAAGACUUGCAAAAUAUAAUAAAAGCCUGGUAUCCAAAUUUAGAGCCAAUUUCUGAGAAACUCAUAGGAACCUUUGAAAGGGUUAACUCUUCUCCUGUACAUCAACUAGCGGGAUUCCACCCCAGAAAUUCUGCUGUUAGUUUUCUCAGCAGAUUCUCAUUAAGGGAUCUUCUUAAAUGGUGCAAGCGAAUCUUAGGUUUAGGCUUUAGCUUCAAUGGAGAUGGUUUGUCAGCUUAUGAGUGUAAUUACUGAGAUAUGGGUUCCCCCUGUUGGUGACCUAAAUGAGCUUAAGAGUAUUGCUCUGCAGAGGUAGAUAAGUGACCUAA